rnacentral:rRNA from 1 species
GAUGAACGCUAGCGGCAGGCUUAAUACAUGCAAGUCGAGGGGCAGCAGUUUUGUAGCAAUGCAGAAGCUGGCGACCGGCAAACGGGUGCGGAACACGUACGCAACCUUCCUUUAACUGGAAGAUAGCCCACCGAAAGGUGGAUUAAUACUCCAUAAUAUAUUGAAGAGGCAUCUUUUUGAUAUUAAAGCUCCGGCGGUUAAAGAUGGGCGUGCGUCUGAUUAGGUAGUUGGCGGGGUAACGGCCCACCAAGCCUUCGAUCAGUAGCUGAUGUGAGAGCAUGAUCAGCCAAACGGGCACUGAGACACGGGCCCGACUCCUACGGGAGGCAGCAGUAAGGAAUAUUGGUCAAUGGACGCAAGUCUGAACCAGCCAUGCCGCGUGGAGGAUGAAGGCCCUCUGGGUUGUAAACUUCUUUUCUUUGGGACGAAACCCCUGUUUCUACGGGGACUGACGGUACCAGAGGAAUAAGCACCGGCUAACUCCGUGCCAGCCGCCGCGGUAACAC